rnacentral:lncRNA from 1 species
CUCAGCACUGCAGGGUGUACCCUGGGACCAGAUUAUGCAUUAGAGGAGAACUGGGAGAGAGACUUAUUCUGGAAUACACACUGCUUCCAAACUCCUCUGGAUCCUGCUGCAAUGGAAGGGCCUGUCUCCACGCUGUGCCUGAGGACUUGCUACAUAAAACACUGCAAAGGGCUCAGUAUCGCUGAAAAUCCACCUGAGCUGGGAAAAGCCCCCCUCUCCAGGAGCUGCAGUUGUUCUCGUAGGAUUGUGAAACAAGAGUGGUCAAACAGUGUCAGCAAGUGUGGCCUGCCCAUCAUCCCAGAAUACCCAGGCUUCCAGGACGUCAAGUUAUCAAAAAGUUAUUUGGGAAAUCCUGCCUUCAACCAAAUUUUCCAGGAUCUGGAAAGAGGGAAGACCUCCUCACCACAAGUCAGUAAUUUCCCGAGGAGAGGCUCCUUAGCCCAUUGCCUGGGGGGCUCCUCAGGGGGCUGCUUGAAAUGCCAGCAGCCCACCAGCCCUGGCUUCCAGGACAAACCUUUGCAGGAGUAUUUCAACGAGAGGCUGAUGGAGCUGGGGAACCACCAGAGGUGCACCAGGAAGACAAAGGGGUUUUCAGAGAAGAGCCAGAGCCCGUUCCUCAGGGGUUCCCAGCGCAGGAGCAGCUGCAGCGCCGUGCUGCUGGUGAGCCAUGGCCAGGAGCACCAGGAGCCCUGCAGCUCAGAAAACCAGCACAGCAAGGCAGGCAGCGAGUGCCAGGCUCAAAAGGAAAUCCAGAGUGUCCUAAAGCUCUACACUGGUGACUUCUUGGACCUUCUGACAAUGCACAUCGCUGCUCCUCUGGAAGCAUUUGUGCAGAAGAAGUGAUUCUGGAGCUGGUGGGAGAUUUUUGUGCCGUGCUAGAACCCAGGAAGGGUUGUUCCUGUUUAGCACCAUUCUGAUUUUAGCUCAUAUGUAUCAGUCCCCUCUGAUGCAGAAACGUGCUUAUUUUGGGAUUGUUCUUGAUUAACAUUGCAUAUAUUUGUUUUCAAGUAUUUCCUGGAAAGAAUCAGCAUGAUUGAACCAUAGGUGCAGCUUAUAGCAGUGCUCUAAAUACGUGUGUGUAUUACUAGAAUACUUAAAUUGCCUUUAAAACAGGUGAUUAGUGUCAGAGCAGUAGCUUGUCUCCUGCUGUGAAGUUUGUGCUAAUUAAUCUGAAGAAAGACUGUUGUAUUCUGCCUCGUUAUUUUGCUUCUUUUUAGCCUCUUGCUUUUAUCAUGUCACUGUGGCCCAAAUCAUUUAUGUUCUUACUGUGACUUAUUUCUGACACAGAUGCAAAGAGUUGAUGAGAAAUUACUGAUUUUUCACUCAUUGGCACCUGUAAUCAUGAGAUGGAUCACUGCAAGAGUCUGAUGCAUGAAGAAAUAAACACAGAAGAUCUACUUUUAAAUAUGAUCA